rnacentral:rRNA from 1 species
AACGAACGCUGGCGGCAUGCCUAACACAUGCAAGUCGAACGAGACCUUCGGGUCUAGUGUCGCACGGGUGCGUAACGCGUGGGAACCUGCCCUUAGGUUCGGAAUAACUCCCCGAAAGGGGUGCUAAUACCGGAUAAUGUCUUCGGACCAAAGAUUUAUCGCCUUUGGAUGGGCCCGCGUUGGAUUAGCUAGUUGGUAGGGUAAAAGCAUACCAAGGCAACGAUCCAUAGCUGGUCUGAGAGGAUGAUCAGCCACACUGGGACUGAGACACGGCCCAGACUCCUACGGGAGGCAGCAGUGGGGAAUAUUGGACAAUGGGCGAAAGGCUGAACCAGCAAUGCCGCGUGAGUGAUGAAGGCCUUAGGGUUGUAAAGCUUUUUUACCCGGGAUGAUAAUGACAGUACCGGGAGAAUAAGCUCCGGCUAACUCCGUG